rnacentral:lncRNA from 1 species
GCGACAGAGACGAGGAGUUCAGUACAGGAUGUCCUCCAGGGCUGCUUGUUCUCUGCGGGCCGCGCCGCGGAGAAGAUCAGCGCCCGGUACCGCUGGAAGGCCUCGUCCAGCACGGCACAGCCCGGCCCCACGGCGGAGCCGGCGGCGUGCGCGAAGUGGAAGCGGGCGGGGGCAGCGGGCAGCGGGCGGGGGCCGGCGGGGAGCGCUGCAGCUGCGGCUGCGGCCAUAGCGCGGCCGCCGGACCCACCGCGGCCAGGAGCAGCAGCGCCCGCGCCGCUAUGGCAACGGCUGCCAUGUCCG